rnacentral:rRNA from 1 species
UCAGACGUGAGUACCUGCUGAACUUAAGCAUAUCAGUAAGCAGAGGAAAGGAAACUAACAAG